rnacentral:rRNA from 1 species
GGUUCGUGCCCGUAGGAUCCUCUCCCCUGUGACAUACCAAUUGUUGCCUCGGCGGAUCAGCCCGCUCCCGGUAAAACGGGACGGCCCGCCAGAGGACCCCUAAACUCUGUUUCUAUAUGUAACUUCUGAGUAAAACCAUAAAUAAAUCAAAACUUUCAACAACGGAUCUCUUGGUUCUGGCAUCGAUGAAGAACGCAGCAAAAUGCGAUAAGUAAUGUGAAUUGCAAAAUUCAGUGAAUCAUCGAAUCUUUGAACGCACAUUGCGCCCGCCAGUAUUCUGGCGGGCAUGCCUGUUCGAGCGUCAUUUCAACCCUCAAGCCCCCGGGUUUGGUGUUGGGGAUCCACGAGACCAUGCUCCAAUCCGGACGCCUGCUUUAGUGCCGGCCCUAUUGCAACCAUCGUAGCUUAUCUGCGUAGACUGUCACCCCCGAAAGAAUAAAGGUAUCUCCUUUAGACAACAUUAUCACACUGAUGCUUA